rnacentral:rRNA from 1 species
GAUGAACGCUAGCUACAGGCUUAACACAUGCAAGUCGAGGGGCAUCAGGAAGAAAGCUUGCUUUCUUUGCUGGCGACCGGCGGACGGGUGAGUAACGCGUGAGUAACCUGCCCUUGAGAGGGGGAUAACGUCUGGAAACGGACGCUAAUACCGCAUAAAAUUAUCCAGUCGCAUGGCAGGAUAAUCAAAGGAGCAAUCCGCUGAAGGAUGGACUCGCGUCCGAUUAGAUAGUUGGUGAGGUAAAGGCUCACCAAGUCGACGAUCGGUAGCCGGACUGAGAGGUUGAACGGCCACAUUGGGACUGAGACACGGCCCAGACUCCUACGGGAGGCAGCAGUGGGGGAUAUUGCACAAUGGGCGAAAGCCUGAUGCAGCAACGCCGCGUGCAGGAAGACGGGUCCUAUGGAUUGUAAACUGCUUUAGCAUGGGAGCAAUAAGGUGU